CAGGCGUCGGCGGCGUACUGGCAUACUGCACCAACUCUACGGUGCCGUGCGGUCCGUUCCUGUUCAUAUACAAACUCUGAUGAGUAGUACAAUCUACCGGCGUUGCCAUGAUCCAAGGAAUUUAAGUCUACCAGGGGCGUCAAUUGUUUGGGGCCUAUUUAGGACACAAUAAUUCUGUAGUAAGAUUUUCGCAGGAAUUUCACAAGCAUAUGUUCAGUUUUACAUGAAUUAGGAUUUACGGGUUUAGUGAUAGUCUGGAGUUAAGAUGCAAUCGUGUCUGCUCCUUGCUGCAUGAUCAGCAAGGCAUCACCAUUCUGAUUGUCCCCGUGCCUGCUCUUUUCUGCAUGAUUAGUUGGCUGCUCUGUUUUCGGAUUUAUUGGAUGCUGCAGUCUUUUGGUUGAUGCAUAUGUGUUCUUUCUGCGCUUUAGUUUUCAACACCCUGCUGUAGGAUGCAGUUUGCCAUGCCCAGCAUAUAUUUAUCGAAAUGACAAGCCUCCAAAACUUUGUGCAACGUGCGUUGCAAAUGAAGGCGUAUGGUAAUGUUGGUUGUCUGGUGCACUAAGUAUGUGUGGGUACUAAUCACCCUCUGCUUUGUUUCACAAUGCUAGAAUUGCAGACCAUGUGCCUUGGCAGAUCACCGGCCGGUGCCUUUCCUGGCUCUUCUCAGUCAUGCAGCUAUUUGCAUUGACCUUUUUGUCCUGACGCUUCCAGGACGACUUUGUUGUCUUUACAAUUAAAUUGUUCUCAGGACCAAUUUCUUAUGGCUCAUGGUAUCGUUAAUUCGUUAUGGACCAUGACGCAGCAUCACUGAUUUGGUAACUCUGAAUUCUGUAUUGCAGGGAAGUUAGUUACAGAAUAACUUUCUUGCAAUUUUUUUUUGUUGUUCAUGUAAAAUGAUGAUCUCCGAACUAAUUUCUUA
rnacentral:lncRNA from 1 species